rnacentral:lncRNA from 1 species
AGCUUCAGGGAUUUUCUCCUUUUAAGUUCCUUUCCACUCUCUGAAGGUUGCUGACCCUAGAAUGGAGAAGGUAGAACUUCAAGGGGACUGCAAGCAGCCCAGGUGAGGGCUAUUGACAUUGCAGUGCUGGAAUUGCCAGCAUUUGUUUGGAGAGUUGGACACAACCAGGGCUUUGUUAUCAUGGUGCUGUCUCAUCUUUGCUUAUGAACCCUGUUGUGAUGGAGAGAAAAGGAAGAACAUCUGCUCCCUCCUGGAAGCCUUCACUUUGCAGAUUCCAUCCUUUGACUUCAACUCCUUCUGCAUAAAGGAAAACGUAUACUCUCUGUGUUGCGUUUUCAUUUGUAUACCAUUCUGGGAUCUUCUCCGAAACAAACCACUGUGAAAUGACUCUCUUGCUAUGGUGUUCAGAGAACGAAGAUGUAUUUGGCGAUUAUGGCGGUUUGGAAGGAUGUAGAGAAGAAAGAGAAAACAAACGUUUUCAGUUAUCACAGAAAAGCCUGAUUAAAAUAGUUUACCAAGGUGAAGAACAUUGCCAACAACAAUCCCUGUCAAUAUUUGCCCCUUCUCAUACAGAAGGCAAAGGAAAGGGAGCACAAAUGAAAAUGUGAAUUAAAAAAUUGGCCUAAAGACAAGCUAGGAUGGUUGGUGUGGGCAGCAGAGAAGGGAUCACUGUGAGACUUGAGGCAACUCACACGAGCAGUUGCUCAACUAAGAAGCAAUGCUAARAGAGGUCUGAGAAACUUUUAGGGCAUUCUGGCUGCCAGGAGAACUGUACAUGGUAAUUUUUGUUACUGUGGUACUCUACAAAUGUUUACCCAUCUCCAUCAGGAUCUUUGAAGACUGUUGUAAGCUUCCCUGGGACUCUUGCGGUUCAGGUAUGCUCCCCAUGACUUUCCCAGAAUAUUUAUUCUUUUAACUCUAACAAGCCAAGCGGAUUUCAGCCUUGCUGCUGGGGCAGUCGCAGCAGUACAAAUGCAUGGGUGAUGAGCUGUGGUCUGCG